UUUUACCCCUGUGCCCUUCAAUUAUGUAUUAACCUAAUAAUCUGUAUUAACUUGUCAAAUAUCUGCUGAUGAUUGUUGGUUGAUUGUCAGUUCUUGCCUGCUUUAAAGUAGAAGCUUUUUUGUGCAAUUUUCAUCCAUUUCAUCAAAACGGCAAAUUAUUCAAAUGCAAAUAUGACCGAUAUGCAUUUUGUUUAUAGUCUUGUUCACGGAAAUUCAUUGCAAGAUUAUAGGAUGCUAAAACAUACAUUAUUUGCACGCCUUCAUCAAAGACUACGAGAAACUGAAACUUUUCAACCAAGAAAACAUGAUUGUGAUCGCCAAAGCGAUAUUAAAACACCAGAAUCGGAAGAAGCAGUACACUGAAAAAAAUGGGGGGAAAUAUACCAAAUAAAUUUAUUAUUAAUUACCAAUUGUAUUCUGUAGAAGCCCAAACUUUAGUAAUUUUUUAAAGAAUAUUGAACUUCACUUUGUAAAACAUACAAAAUAUCAUUUGUAAAAUUUAUUUUGCAUGUAAUUUUUACAAUAUACAAAGUAAUAUUUUAGUUUACACGGUAAAAAUACGUAAACAAAACGGGAAAAUACAUAUAUUUUGUAAAAUUACAUAAUUCGCUACGUAAAUUAACAGACGCCACCAAAUACGCCAUACCUACACUCAGCUAAUUUAGGCUAAUUCGGCGUUUGCCGUUUGCUUAGUCACACCUCGCACCAAAAUUAUUAAGGGAGCGUGAGCUCAGGCUUCUAUGGGAUAAAGUAUUGCCAUUAACACCUAUAAACUGUUUAUCUAUGAGUAUUGCGUAUUAGUGUAUUGGUUAAGUGAAUUUUGUCCAUCUUGUUUGAGUUUUUGUGAUAAUACAGGGAAACGAAAGAAGAAUGGCCAUUACUAUUUUCAUCACCAUCUCUCUUUUGGCAUUUUCAAGAAUUAACAGGUGCUGAGAUUCACCUACUCAAUGGAAUAAAUGAGAAAGCUGACAAAAUCACAAAGUGCCUUAAACUCCCCAAAGACGCUGAUUUAGAAGAAAAUGUAUCAAUAGAACAGCAACUAAUUAAAAAUUUAAUACAGCACUUCAAGGAAGAUAUUGAAUUUUUGAUAUCUCAAACAGGGGCAAGUGACAUUUUUUAAAUAAAAAAAAACUAAACACUUUACGACUCUAACCUUAAUUACAACUGUAAUAUUAUUUUUUAUUUUAAAUAUAUAUUUUUUAUUCCAGGUCCAAAUGAAUUUAAACGACAACGAUGUUUAUCUCGACAAUUUGCACCAGCGCCUAUAUUUUUUAAAGCAAGAAAACAAAAAAUUGCUUUUAUGUUUUGGUUGAACGUCAAAUAAUACAGGCAGAUGGCUACACCACUUUUCUGGAGGCCCUAAAAGUUCUUCUUGCGUUGUACUUUGUACUAAACUUGGUUUACCCGAAAAAACUAGAAACUACCCUGGAAUUUCUCCAAAGAUAUUUUCUAAAACUUCACCCCGAUCAGGGAAGUAAAGCCAGGCAGGUAUCUAAUAGCCGAAAGAAGGUAUUUUCUUUAAUGAAUUCAAUAAAAAAUAAAAAAACAUAAUAAGUACCUAUAAUAUAUAAUAUAUCUUUGUUAUAUUAUUAUGCAUACUAUGUAUAUUUUUUUAUGUAGAAAAACAUGUUACAUACCAUGUAAUGUUAUUUAUUUUGUUUACGUAUAAGUACCUACGACAAUAAUUUUAUUGAAGAAGAAGGUACAUAUUUCCUAUAUUUUGUUUUAUUAUUAUUAGAAUAAUAGGUUUUUGUUAGACAGUGUGAUUUUAAAGUCGAUUUUUUGAUCUUUUAACAAAAGAUUAAGAUCAAAAAAAGUUU